AAAGAAGAUGGCAGAAAUAAAAUAUCAAUCUAUCUACUCACAGGAGUCAACAUCUGAAUGCUUUCAGCAAAGUUCCCAAUGAAGGCCAUGAUGGUCAUCUUCUGCAGGAGCCUCUCGAUCUUACUGAACUGCAUCAUGAAACGAUCUUCAUCCGACAAGUUCUCCAGGGGCUUCCUUUCCCGUUCAUAAAGCCUAAGCACUUUUACCUCAUUCUCAGUUGGCAAGAACCUCAUCAAACACUCUACAAAGUCUACAGGCAGUGUUUUCAAGUCAAAUCUGAAAAGAACGUGGACAGGUCAAUGUUAGAGAUAAAAAUCCUACUC
rnacentral:lncRNA from 1 species